rnacentral:ribozyme from 1 species
UGCCCAGCAACUCCUAUCCCUACCUCCUCGCGGUACUGGCCGGGGUACGAGUAACCUUGGGGAAGAUCGGGUAACCAACCCCCGGUGGGAACUUUGGUCGUAUGCUGACAGAGAAGG